CAAAGAUAAACCCCACAGCUGGAGGAGAGGAAAGGUGACUGACCUGAGGCCAUCAUUGCAGAUCCAUCCCUCUUGCCAGUGAGGGGUUCAAGCAUGGGCAUAUGACCAAUGAGACAUGAGAGGAAGUCUGCAGGGACCUUCAGGAAACAUUUCCUUGGCUCAAAGAGAGACCUCAAGGAAAGGAUGGUCUCUUCCCUUCUAGAUACUGUGUCAGAAUGAGAAAACUAGAACUGCUGCAGCUGUAUUUCUACCAGCCUGAGAAUGGAGCCUAAACUAAGAAUGGAUGAGAAGAGGUGAAAUGAUCCUGAAUCCUUGAUGACAUCACCAAGUCAACCGAACUUGAAGGCUGCCUUGUCUCUGGACCUCUUGCUAUGUGGAAUAAUGGAUAGUUUAAGCCUGUUGGAAUCCAGAUUUUUAUGAUGUGCAGCAAAACCUAUUCUCCUGAUAACAUACUAGGAGCACCAAUAAAAUUUAGAUCUAAAAAGGGACUGAUUAUAGUUAAGCUUAUGCAGACAUACCUAGGAAGAAAAUCAGAAGAUUUAAGAAAAACUUAGAAUAAACAGCAAGGCCUACUUUUACACUGGUUCUUGUGAAGGACUAAUUUGGCACCAAAAUCAAGAUGUCACAGGAAGGGGAACAUCACACACCGGGG
rnacentral:lncRNA from 10 species